rnacentral:rRNA from 1 species
UAGGGAAUCUUCGGCAAUGGGCGGAAGUCUGACCGAGCAACGCCGCGUGAGUGAAGAAGGUUUUCGGAUCGUAAAGCUCUGUUGUAAGAGAAGAACGAGUGUGAGAGUGGAAAGUUCACACUGUGACGGUAUCUUACCAGAAAGGGACGGCUAACUACGUGCCAGCAGCCGCGGUAAUACGUAGGUCCCGAGCGUUGUCCGGAUUUAUUGGGCGUAAAGCGAGCGCAGGCGGUUAGAUAAGUCUGAAGUUAAAGGCUGUGGCUUAACCAUAGUAGGCUUUGGAAACUGUUUAACUUGAGUGCAAGAGGGGAGAGUGGAAUUCCAUGUGUAGCGGUGAAAUGCGUAGAUAUAUGGAGGAACACCGGUGGCGAAAGCGGCUCUCUGGCUUGUAACUGACGCUGAGGCUCGAAAGCGUGGGGAGCAAACAGGAUUAGAUACCCUGGUAGUCCACGCUGUAAACGAUGAGUGCUAGGUGUUAGACCCUUUCCGGGGUUUAGUGCCGUAGCUAACGCAUUAAGCACUCCGCCUGGGGAGUACGACCGCAAGGUUG